rnacentral:rRNA from 1 species
UACGAAGGGGGCUAGCGUUGCUCGGAAUCACUGGGCGUAAAGGGUGCGUAGGCGGGUCUUUAAGUCAGGGGUGAAAUCCUGGAGCUCAACUCCAGAACUGCCUUUGAUACUGAAGAUCUUGAGUUCGGGAGAGGUGAGUGGAACUGCGAGUGUAGAGGUGAAAUUCGUAGAUAUUCGCAAGAACACCAGUGGCGAAGGCGGCUCACUGGCCCGAUACUGACGCUGAGGCACGAAAAGCGUGGGGAGCAAACAGGG